UGGGGUGUAGCUCAGUGGUAAAGCACGUGCCUUACAUGCAUGAGGCCAGAGCUUCAACUCUCUGUUCCAA
rnacentral:tRNA from 1 species